UACGUAGGGUGCAAGCGUUGUCCGGAAUUAUUGGGCGUAAAGAGCUUGUAGGCGGUUUGUCGCGUCUGCUGUGAAAUUUCGGGGCUCAACCCCGAACUUGCAGUGGGUACGGGCAGACUAGAGUGUGGUAGGGGAGACUGGAAUUCCUGGUGUAGCGGUGAAAUGCGUAGAUAUCGAGAGGAACACCAGUGGCGAAGGCGAGUCUCUAGACAACUCCUGACACUGAGGCACGAAAGCUAGGGGAGCAAACAGG
rnacentral:rRNA from 1 species